rnacentral:rRNA from 1 species
GAUGAACGCUGACAGAAUGCUUAACACAUGCAAGUCAACUUGAACUUCGGUUUGGGUGGCGGACGGGUGAGUAACGCGUAAAGAACUUGCCUCACAGAUAGGGACAACAUUUGGAAACGAAUGCUAAUACCUGAUAUUAUGAUUAUAUGGCAUCGUAUAAUUAUGAAAGCUAUAUGCGCUGUGAGAGAGCUUUGCGUCCCAUUAGCUAGUUGGAGAGGUAACGGCUCACCAAGGCGAUGAUGGGUAGCCGGCCUGAGAGGGUGAUCGGCCACAAGGGGACUGAGACACGGCCCUUACGCCGACGGGAGGCAGCAGUGGGGAAUAUUGGACAAUGGACCAAGAGUCUGAUCCAGCAAUUCUGUGUGCACGAUGAAGUUUUUCGGAAUGUAAAGUGCUUUCAGUUGGGAAGAAAAAAAUGACGGUACCAACAGAAGAAGUGACGGCUAAAUACGUG